rnacentral:lncRNA from 10 species
CCGCCCUCUCUCCGCACCUCGGGGUCCCAAAUCCCACCCCUGCCGCGGCUUUCCGCCGGCGCCCCGCGCUUCGUGGAAGUCACGUGGUGGCUCUGAAACCCCGGAGGGAACGCGAAGCCCACCCACGCGAGGCGACGCCCGGGGGGGUGGGGACCAGGGGGGCGCCAUGCAGCCUUUGGGGUCCUUCGGCGGCUGCCGGGGAACUCAGGUUGAGAAACACAGUGGGUGUUUUGGGGUCGGUGUUUUUUCCCGGUCCCAUCGCGGCAUCUUCCUGCGCCUCAGCCACGCCCUGCGUCCGCCCCCCGGCGCGGGGGUCACAGUCCCGGGGGACUUUCUCCGCGGCGAUCAGUCAUCCGGGCGCCACUCUCGCUCCUCCAGCGGCCCCGAAGCCGCGGCUCUGGGGUGAAGACGCCGGCUUCACCGAGUCCCACCGCGCACCCCGAGCCACGGGCGCCCCAGGGACUCUGCAGGGAGUGCCUGCCCUUCCCGUCUCGGGUCCGCCGGGCUGUGGGAGGGAACGAGGCGGGGCGGCCCCGAGGGUGAAUUCCCGGAGCGGAGGGUGGGCAUGGGGAGGAUGUCCCGGACAAAAACGGUGACGGGCUUCCCUGAGAGCGAAUCUGCCACGUGGGACGUCACUAGUGACAGGUUUGGGGAUCUGGACCCGCCAUGCCACGGUUAAACGGCCCAGAUCAUUUUUCUUUUUCAAGAUUUAUCUGCUCGUGCCAAGCUGGGGACCGGGUUGAGGUAGGGCAAGUCCCUGUCCACCUGCCUGCCAGUCAAAAGAUGCGAAGCCAAGACAAUUACCCGUGGUCCUAGCGAAGGAAACACUAGCGGCCACAGGCUGUGGUCUGCAUGCUGAUUUAAGACCCACUCUUGCAAAAGCUUUGAGAGAGCUUGAGUGAACUUGGCUGCCUGGAGGCCAGCGGGAAAGCGAGCGGAGAUUCUUGUCUGUGUGAUCAGAAGCUUCGGCCAACUGAGAGGCGGGGAGGAAGACGGAGGGUGGACGCAGCCCUUUAGAGUUGCAGCGCCACACUCCACAGCAGCAAGGCUGCGCAGCAGAGCCAGCGCUACGCUGGGUUAUCUGCCCGGAUUAAUCUUUUCCUCUCCGUUAUUUCAUCACUCAGCUUAACUGGUGGUUGCCCCAGGACUAUUUUGCAUCCCACAAGGUACCCACACAAGGUGCCUAGCAUAGCACGCUACAUACACUCAACAGGUGCUCAGUAUAUGUAUUGCACUAGGUCAGCUGAAAGCUCUCAUUCCUGAAGCACUAAAAGGGCUCUAACGAGCUAGGAAAACAUCUGGGUCAAGGGGUUAUCAUUUUCAGAAGUGAUUUCAUUCCCCAGUGUUUUUUAUGCACAGAAAAGGCAAGGUAGAAACACCUCGGGAACAUUCCCGUGCACUCCUACACUUUAUUCUGGUCAUGCCCACUUUUCUCACUGAACCACAUCACAUUUUAAGUCCUUUGGGGCUGCUGCUUCCCUGUCUCUCCCCAGGGAGCCUGAAACCAUGUCCCAGCACACACGAACUCUUUAUAUAGGCAUAGUCUACUGUCUUGUGUUACGCAAGGGUUUCUUCAAAUACAUUUAGUCUUGGUUAACUAGGUAGCAUUUAGGGCAGAGAUCAAUUUGAUGUAAAGAUCAUACAUCAAAAUGAAUGGAUUAAAUAGCUAGAUACAGAAAUGAAAAUCAGAGAGCUAAAGCAGAAUUAAAUUCUUAUUUAAGUCAUGGAAGCAUAGGCAACAUAGUGAGACCCCCAACUCUACCAAAAAUUAAAAGAAAUCAACUAGCUGAGUGUGGUGGUGCACACCUGUAGUCCCAGCUACUCAGGACGCUGAGGCAGGAGGAUCACUUAAGCUCAGGAGUUUGAGGCUGCAAUGAGCUAUGAUUGCACCACUGCACUCCAGCCUCCAGGGCAACAGAGCAAGACCUUAUCUCAAAUAAAUAAAAUAAAGUUGUGGAGAUAAGAUAAGGAAAGGAUCUUAUAAGAAUACAUGUAAUAGGAGAAAUUGACUUGAUAAGAUCUGAACUAUAUAAAAGGGCUAAAUUGUUUUAGAUGACAGUAUAACCAGGAAUGUAAAACAAACAGAUUGGAUAAAUACAGUGCAUAUGAGAAAGGGUUAAUAUACAGCCCACGAAAAAGAAGAAGAAGAAUAUUGAGACAACCCGCAAAGGUAAAUUGCAGAAGGGAUAUGAAAUGGCAUUUCCCAGCAGAAGAAAUAAUCAAGGAAAAUAGGUAUAGGAAAAUAUAUAUUAAAAUAAGAACCCUUUUUAAGUUAGCAAAAUAAAAAGUAAUAUCAAAUGCUGGGGAGAGUAUGGUGAAAUUGGUACUCACAUGUUUCACUGGCUUCAUUGUAAAUUGGCACAAACCUGCUGGAAAGCAGUUUUACUGUCACUUUCAAGAACCAUAAAAGAGUCAUCACUUUUGACUCAAUUUUCCUACUGCUAGAAAAUCAUCCUAGAAACAUCAUUGAAAAUACUAGGGAGAAAAAUACUAUAUGCACUAGAAGUUCAUAAUAACAUUUUAAGAGUGAAAAAUGUAAGCAACAUAAAUGUCCGAUUAUAGUUGAAUGGCUAAACAGAAUAUGUUAUUGCCACAGGAUAGAAUGUUAUGCAUCUUUAAAAUUACAAGCAUGCAGGCUGGAUGCAGUGGCUCUCACCUGUAGUCCCAGCUACUCUAGAGGCUGAAGUGGGAGGAUCAUUUGAGCCUAGGAGUGCAAGGCUGCAGUGAGCCAUGAUUGCACCACUGAGUUCCAGUCUGAGCAACAGAGUGAUACCCUGUCUCUUAAAAAAAAAAUUACAAACAUGCAGACAAAUUUGCCACUUGGAAUGUUUAUUUGAUCUGAAGUAGAGUGAGAAAAAUCAGGAUACAAAAAGUACAUAUAUGACAUGAACAGUAUGUACGAAUGUAUGCAUAUGAGAAAAGAUUGGAAGAAAACGUACCCUGAUGGUAGCCUUUCUCUUAUAAUGGUGGCAUUAUAAUUUCUUUUACCUGUACUUGUUGAAAAAUGGUUUUUAUUAUGUUAGCAUCUUAAAACAUUUCAUAUGUAUAAGUGAUAUAAAUAUAUUUGUAUGGCACUAAGCUCACUGGCCUCACCAGAAUGCCAGCACUUCUCUGAUCAAGUGGUUUGCUCUAAUAACAGACUUUUCCUUGCUUUUCUGUAAUAUCUUCUCGUUUGUUUUAUUCUCUUUAGUCAGAAGGAGAAAGAAAAAUGAAAGUAAAGAAAAGAUAAACAAGAAGAAGCAUUUCAAAUGUCUCCUUUUCUUCAGCCUUUUAUUUUCUUUUUAUUUGUAUUAUUUUCCUUGAACUGGGAAGAGAAAUUAUAUGAUUUGGCAAUUUCCGAUUAAUACCACAAUUACCCUGGAUUACAUCUUUGGGGAGGGGGUAGGAGGUGCAAGAGGUUUAUAGCUCAGUGACCAAAUCCUCUGGUGAUUCACUUCACAAAAGACAACCCUUUAUAAAAACGCAUCACUCCAGUUCUAGCAAACACUGUCACUGGUUCACCUUUGCUUCUCUCUUUUAGGAAAAUUGGCCUUUCAGUCAUUGUAGUCUCAUUGCCCUUCCUUAGAAGGUGGUCCUGCGGGCUCCUGGUGGGGCUGGAGAAUAGAAAGCUGAAGGCAGAAUCCGCUGUAUUUGCCAGAAGUCAGCCACUGUGUGUGGGGCCCUGUUCUAGGCACUGGGAUACAGCAGUGGACAAAAAACUGUCCAUACCUCCCGGAGCUCUCGUUUCAGCGGAGGAAGGCAGACAAUAAACAAAAUUUAGUAGUGUGUCAGAGG